ensembl:lncRNA novel transcript
AGGGUGAAUACUGUGCUGAAGCCAGGAUCUUGUCCUCCCUGGGAAGAAGAAACAAGAUGGCUGCCUUCCCAGUGUCCCCAGAGUGGUUGGUGACAACUCAAUAAUGACUCUUCCUUAAUGGUAUGAAGAGAGGAAUUGUAAGAUUAUGAGGAAACUUGCCACAAUCAUCCAAGAAUUUAAAAUAUCCAUUUGAAGUCUGGGAAGUGGAGCCAGGAAGCACGUUUUGGAUGGGCACUCCUGGAAGAGAGCAUCUCUGUGUGCCUAGAAGGAGAAGAGCUUUGCAAUUCUUUUUUAUGAACCAUGUGACGAAGAUGUACCAAGAACUGCUUCUAUCAGUGAAGGAGACAGCCUGGUUUCAGAGGAAAUGCAUUUACAGUGAUUCUUUGCUUUUAGACAUUCAGCAAAAGAGUGCUGUGACGAGAACUGGGCAGAACAUCAGCUCAUCAGAAGCAGUGACAUCCAAGAGCCCAGAGGAGCCUGAAGAACAAUUGAGAGAAGCCUCCUUUGCCAACGCGUUGCCCACCAGGGCUGCACGUGGUACCCUUGCUCCAAGAUGCUUCCCAAAAACACCAGGACCAGGCAGUUAAAUGGCACUUGUACCAGCUCGGUGGACAUGGAGCUCUUCCUUCAUUAUUCCCUCAUCCCAUCACUCUUCAUCAUGUUGAUCUUGUCCUUCCUUCAAAGAUGAGAGCAUUGUAGACAGAGAGAUGAUACCUCUUACCUGCUGGGGAACUGCUUUGGCAUUAUCAUGCCUCUGGACUUCGUGGGCACUUUCAGUAACCGAUGGUCCUAUGGAAUCACCUUUGGGGCCACAGCUAAUAAGGUCAUGUUUUUGUUCUCAGAAGGCUACCAGCCCCUGCAGAUCCCGCAGUGGGCCCAAGGUACUGGGGAUACCUCAUACCUGCUGGAAACUGCAUCAUGAAAAUUCUUGCUCUCAGAGACCACAUGGCACACGCUGUCUGGGAUCAGAGGAUAAACUCUGUGAAUGGUCAUGUUCUUGCCAGCCUGUUGCUUGCCCAGGGUCAACACCUAGCCCACAAAUCUUCAAAGCUUCUUUGUGGGGCUUUCCCCAGUUACAUUCAGAGGUCCUUUAGAUAUGAUAUAUCAAGUCUUAGGAAGUAGGUUCUUCCUCACCUACCUGCCAAAAGCUCUCCUGUGUCAUAGUCAUGGCUGCCUUCUUGAUGUUGAUGAGCCCCAUUCCUCCUCAAAGAACAAUGCUUAUGUUUUUGGCCAUUAGUCUGAGGCAUCGUCUUUCCCCAUGCCUCAUGCUCCAUCUGGAGGAGUGUAACUCUAAGCUACAAGUUCACUUUUCCAUGAUACAAUCAUUCUCAAACCUCUCUGUCCAGUACAGUUCCCUCUCAUGGGCUCCAAGCCUAUGUGAUCAAAUGCCCGCUAACAGGUCAUUAGUCUUUAAGAAAAUGCAAAUUAAAACCAAAAUAAUGCAUCAUUACACACCUCUUAGAAGUACACAGUUUGAGAAGUUUUGGCAAAUAUUUACAUCAAUGAAACCAUCGCCACAAUCAGGAUAAGGAAUCUCAGAGAUUUCCUUGUUCCCCUUUGUAAUCUCCCUUUUCCUCCCCUCUUCUGUCACAUGCCCACUAAUCUACUUAGUUUGCAUUUUCCCGAAUUUUGUAUAAAUAGAAUCAUACAGAAUGUACUUUUUUUUUUGGUCUGGCUUCUUUCAGUCAGCAUAGCUAUUUUGAGAUUCAUACAUAUGUAACAUGUGUUAGUAGUUUAUCCUUUUUUCUUGCUGAGUAGUAUUCCACUAUAUAAAUUGACUACAAUUUGUUUAUCCAUUCACUUCAUGAGUAACAUCUGAUUUAUUUCCACUUUUGGCCAUUGCAAAUAAAACUGCUGUGAACGUUUGUGUACAAGUCUUUUCAUGUA